AAUGCGUCUUCACAUUUAUAUGUAUCUGUGCCUGAUAUAUGUCCCUAUGAGACGAAGCAAAAUGAAAAUACUAAUCACAAUGGCACUGCUUUUUAUAAUGACUGGAAACGAAAUAUGCGAGGCCCAAUACAGAUAUAAUGGGGCAUGUAUCACUGAGUGCCUAAAACAAUCGAAGAAUAAAGUUGACUCGAGCUAUCUCCACGUAUGCUCGGAUGCGUGCAGACAUCGUAUAUUCGUGUAGUGAUUGCAUUCAAGUCAUUUUGAAUACAACUAGAAAAAUGAAACCAGAAACAUCACUCCUGAGCACGUCUA
rnacentral:lncRNA from 1 species